AGUUGUGUCCUAAAUAUAGAGAAAAGAAAAGAGACAAGAUGAGAAUGAAAAAAAAAAAUUGAGAAAAAUGAGAAAAAAUUUUGUGAAUAAUGGAGUCAAGAAGAGGAUUGAAUUAGAGGUUUUGGGUGUGAUUUGACUGUGUUUACACUUGUUCCCCAUUGCUCCUCUAUUUCUUUUGGUUUAUAGCUUCUCAUCCAUAUUUAUCAUCCCUUUU
rnacentral:lncRNA from 1 species